rnacentral:rRNA from 1 species
AUUGAACGCUGGCGGCAGGCUUAACACAUGCAAGUCGAGCGGGGUGAUGGUGCUUGCACUAUCACUUAGCGGCGGACGGGUGAGUAAUGCUUAGGAAUCUGCCUAUUAGUGGGGGACAACAUCUCGAAAGGGAUGCUAAUACCGCAUACGUCCUACGGGAGAAAGCAGGGGAUCACUUGUGACCUUGCGCUAAUAGAUGAGCCUAAGUCGGAUUAGCUAGUUGGUGGGGUAAAGGCCUACCAAGGCGACGAUCUGUAGCGGGUCUGAGAGGAUGAUCCGCCACACGGGGACUGAGACACGGCCCAGACUCCUACGGGAGGCAGCAGUGGGAAAUAUUGGACAAUGGGGGGAACCCUGAUCCAGCCAUGCCGCGUGUGUGAAGAAGGCCUUAUGGUUGUAAAGCACUUUAAGCGAGGAGGAGGCUCUUUUGGUUAAUACCCAAGAUGAGUGGUCGUUACUCGCAGAAUAAGCACCGGCUAACUCUGUGCCAGCAGCCGCCGUAA